GACACAGAGUCCCGCCUUCUGAGAUUGGCGGGUAACCUCGCAACGCUGGGACCGCGGCGGUAACCGUGGCUAGGGAAACCUGGAGCCGUCAGAGCGGGAUGGCCAGAGACAAUAAAAGCAUGAGACCCAAGUAGUCUACCGAAGUCUCCAUCUCUGCGGACCUACAGAGGCACAGAGGGCUGCUCACAAGAUGGCUUUAGACAUUCUUGCCAUGGCCCCUUUGUAUCAGGCCCCUGCCAUCACCAGAAUAGGGCCAAAGACAGACCCAUCUAAAAGGCCAGCUGACCCACUAAAACCCUUGGUUCCCUCUAGGACCAAACUCACCACCAUUGAGGCCAAAAGGAUCAUGUCCAUCCUGGAUGAGGCGAUCAACAAGGUGGAGCUGGUGACCCUGCUGUCACAUGUGGCAUCCAACAGAGAGGAUGUGGAGGGGGUGCUGGGGGAGGACAUUAUGAGGGCAGUGAGAGAGCACGAGGAUCUCUGCCAGGUCCUCCUGGAAAACGUCAGGUGCCUGAAGGAGAAAGAAAGGCAAUUGCAGGAGCAGGAAGAGGCUGAGGAGGAAGGGUGGCUCAGAGACCGCCUCCUUUCCAUAGAGCUGCAGAAAUCCAGCCUCUCACCACUUACGCAGCAGAUCAAAGACUCCACCAAGAAUGUCCUGAGACUCUUGCUCAGCAACCCACAGGCUGCUAGGCUCCUGCAGAUGCAGACGCAGAGUAGAAGUGCAGAAGCCCAGAAUUUUAUUGACAGCCUAAUAGAGCUUCGUGGUUUCCUAUUUGAAAAACUAGUCACUAGUCCCAUGGAAGCGAGGGAUAAGGCCCAGUUCAUACAGGAUAUCAAUAGACAGAAUAGUAAUAACCAACAAAUCAUCGAUACUCUUGAAAAUGAAUUGGCGGAGAGAAUGAAGAACAGGAAUGCAGAGGUAUUGUUUCAUAGUACUGCUGAAAUUACUGAAGGAGUGACACAAAUCUUUUUUGUUGGUUGGGUUUUUCCUCAAUGAUUGAUUUUUUUUUUUUUUUUUGGCCAUUGCCUGCUUGA